rnacentral:lncRNA from 1 species
GAUGUAAGUGAGCUUUAAGCCAAACAUUUGUUUGGCUUUGCUGCAGCAGGCUGCAGGAAUGUAAACUUUUUUUUUUUUCAAUGACUUCAGCUCCUAAUUUGAAAGCUAGGAUUUUUAGGAGUGAGCAAGAGACUAUAUUUGGCCAAAAAAUUCUGCUGGCUUUACUUAGCCACUCUGCACAUUCAAAACAAUACUUCUUUAUCAAAAAAACAAUAGUCUGUUUUAUUCACAGCACAUGUAGAAGUUGGAACAUCGACUAAAUUCCACUUUCUUCUCUCGCAGUGUGUCUGUAACCAGCUAAUGAGCUGCAACAGAGGCUGGCCUUCAUUUUCAGCAAAUUAAGUUCAUCCCUCACAGGAAUUGUGGUCUGGCGGUGGCACCGCUCCUAGAAACCGUUUUCUUCUGGGGAUCAAAUGAGAUGCUUUUAAAAGCAUGCUGAUAGCAUUUAUGAUCUCCAAAUGCCAGUUACAAAAAGGAAGAAGAGAGAUAUGGAGGGAGAAAGGAAAGAAAAGAGGAAAGAAAAAUGGCCAUGGGAGGUGGAAUGUCAGUGAUGCUGAAGGUUUGAACCUGGAUGAUCUCAGAAAAGGGCAGCAAGUUUUCUGGCUCUGCCUUGAAGGUAGGAUUUGUUUCCUCCUUGGGAAAAAAUAACUCAUCAGAGAUAUGAAAAAUUCAGCUGAAUUUAUUUAUGGUGUAGAUAAAGAUCUUUUGCAUGCUUUCCAAUGACGACGUUUUACAAAACUUACAGAGAGAAGAUCCUGGAGUAGCAGGUGUGUGUCGCAGCAGGAGCAGAGGGUAAUGAUGCCGGGGUGCCAUGCUAGGGUUAUGCAUGGCGCCCACAAAGACACCUUGGCACAAAGAAGCAAAAUAUUGAGGAAUGGAGCCACACCUCAGGCUGAAUAUUCACCCUUACUGGAGAGAUAGGCUGUCACCUGUAGGAAAUAACUGUCAAGUAAGGCAGCUGAUCAAAGAGACCGUGUUGAGAAUCCUUAGCCGUUGUCAUGCCAUGGGCAAGUGUGUGUGAGUGUGACUGUGUGUGGGGGUGUCACACAACACGCUGUUCUAUGUCUUUCUUAUACUUUGCCCACCAUUAUUUGUUUAUUCCCACUGUUGUUCAUGAAAAAGCCUUUCCACAUACCUACAGUCAUUUCACAAUUCUGUACAAUUUUCAUCUAGACCUUUAUACAUUCUGGGAAUGGAGUGGAUGCAUUGGGAACAUUUUUGAUCACAAAUCAAUGCCAUUUUGUGUCUUGGUUAGAUGGUAUGACUCAUAGAGAUAAGUGUUUUCCAGAAGAGUCUCCAGACUAAAGACCUGCUAUAGGGAGCAGAAAAUUAAGGUAGUAAGCCUGCUGGUUCCAAAAGUUGUCAGGCUUGCUUUUAGUUUCUGAAGAAAACAGUGGACUUCAGUUUAAUUCUGUUUGAUUGUUUGCAAUAGUGUUCCAAGAGAAUAUGAUAAGAUUAUUUUCUC